CCACACCAUUUCCCGCGUUACCAUCCAAACUUUUCCAUCGAACCAUCUUUCGUUCGAUGGAUUUCUGUCGGAAAUUCAUGCUUCUGUCGUUUCGUGCUCACCUCAUUGCGUUUAACAUUGCAUUUCAGUGAGUUACUGGCCGAUUGAACGCGACACAUAUAUUUAAGGAGUGGAACAUAGUAAAUUUCCAUCGCUUAUCGUAAUAUUCCAACCAAAUACAUCGUUUGUUUUGGCAAUUACAUCCUUAGCUGUGCUUGGGCGAGCCAUAUUGGCGUCCACUCACCGAUCAUGAGGAACGGUGCAGCCAGAUUCAACCCGAUGAAGUCGACACCCAGGUAUAUGCAGAGACCAAACGCCGCCACAGUGGCCAUUGCCGCAGAGACGUUUCCAAGAAGUCCCAACCAGGGCUUGCUGCGUACCCAAUCGGUCAUCAUGCACGUCACCACAGAGAACAGAGCCAUUAGGAUAAACGUGCUCGAGAAAUAAGGUACUAUGGUCUUGGUGUUCUCCUCCAGCUCCA